ACACGUAGGUGGCGAGCGUUAUCCGGAAUUACUGGGCGUAAAGGGCGCGCAGGCUGUUAAUAAAGUUCGACGUGAAAGCUCCUGGCUUAACUGGGAGAGGUCGUUGGAAACUAAUUAACUUGAGUCAAUGAGAGGGGUGCGGAAUUCCCGGUGUAGUGGUGGAAUGCGUAGAUAUCGGGAGGAACACCAGUGGCGAAAGCGGCACCCUGGCAUUGGACUGACGCUGAAGUGCGAAAGCGUGGGGAGCGAACGGGAUUAGAUACCCCGGUAGUCCACGCUGUAAACGAUGAACACUAGGUGUGGGAUGAGUCAAAUCAUUCUGUGCCGAAGCAAACGCGAUAAGUGUUCCGCCUGGGGAGUACGGCCGCAAGGCUAAA
rnacentral:rRNA from 1 species